CUCUGGUUCCAGAACAUUCUUAUGCUGCUGUCAGUCUCCAAAGAGCUCUUCUGGAGUUAAUGCACAAAUCUCUGAUUCAGUCAGUUGCCACCGAUUUAAUGGAGAGUCCACCUUUAAAAAACUCUUACAGAGAAGAAGUGUGUUUUCCUUCACUUCAGGAAUUCUAAAUGAGGGAAGGUGUGGGACCAGACCUGGAUCACAGAGGCUCCAAUGAGCUGCUUCCCCCUCUCCACACCCGAAUCGGUCUUAAGACUCCUGAGGCAUGCAUCAGACUGCCAAAGUCAGGAAGUGGCGGAUGUGAGGGGCCACUGUAGCUUCUUGUGUUGCAUGGCAACUAUCAACAAAAAGGUAUAAACAAAAGCAUAUUGCAUUGCUUUGGCAGGUAAGAUGGUCUUCCCUCCUAGGUCUAUUUCUGAUUCACUUUGGGGUGAAUUGGUUAUGAAUUGGGUGGGUAGGCAGAAUUUCUGCUAAAAAUCAUUUCCAAAUUGAAUGACUGUCUUAGGCUAUUUGGUUGUCUUCAUGUGUGAAGAAUCAUUAUCUAAAGGCUAUCAUGGGAAGAUUAUUCAUGCAUAGGCAAAUAUGCUUAUAUUCCACUCCAGAAUUAAAACAUUAAAGACUCUUAAAGAAUACAUAACAAUUUGUGUUGAAAAUGCUUUCUGGCUCUUAAGCUGAUAGUAAUAUAUUAUUUGUGGAUACGUCAGUAAUGCACAUGGACUACUAACUCUACUCAGAUGCCAGAGCUUCUCGUUGGAUUAAUUCUAGGCUGUAUGUAUCAUUGUUAAUAAUUAUGGAAGUAAAAACUAUCCUAUCAUCUACGUGGAUAUGAAUUAAAUGCAUCUGGCUGGAUAUGAGUUAAACUGUAAACCCAUGGUAGUGAAGGAAAUAGUAUACUCUGAAGUCUAAAAUAUAAAUGAGAUGGAGGCCUCCCCAGGGGUGAUUCAGCUGAGAACUUCAUCUCUGAUUUAUACCCUAACACUCUCCAUUUCACCACCAGAUAGGAAAUCUUGAUUGUUAGCUCUCCUGUUAGGAUUACUUAUAGAGGACACUUGGAGAAAUCCUUAUGUGAUUAUGAUAAUACCACCUGACUUUCCUUGGGAAGACAUUU
ensembl:lncRNA